CAGUUCGGAUUGCAGGCUGAAACCCGCCUGUAUGAAGUUGGAAUCGCUAGUAAUCGCGGAUCAGCAUGCCGCGGUGAAUACGUUCCCGGGCCUUGUACACACCGCCCGUCACACCAUGAGAGUCGGGAACACCCGAAGUCCGUAGCCUAACCGCGAAGGGGGGCGCGGCCGAAGGUGGGUUCGAUAAUUGGGGUGAAGUCGUAACAAGGUAUC
rnacentral:rRNA from 1 species